AAUGGGUCAGCGACUUAUAUUCUGUAGCAAGGUUAACCGAAUAGGGGAGCCGAAGGGAAACCGAGUCUUAACUGGGCGUUAAGUUGCAGGGUAUAGACCCGAAACCCGGUGAUCUAGCCAUGGGCAGGUUGAAGGUUGGGUAACACUAACUGGAGGACCGAACCGACUAAUGUUGAAAAAUUAGCGGAUGACUUGUGGCUGGGGGUGAAAGGCCAAUCAAACCGGGAGAUAGCUGGUUCUCCCCGAAAGCUAUUUAGGUAGCGCCUCGUGAAUUCAUCUCCGGGGGUAGAGCACUGUUUCGGCAAGGGGGUCAUCCCGACUUACCAACCCGAUGCAAACUGCGAAUACCGGAGAAUGUUAUCACGGGAGACACACGGCGGGUGCUAACGUCCGUCGUGAAGAGGGAAACAACCCAGACCGCCAGCUAAGGUCCCAAAGUCAUGGUUAAGUGGGAAACGAUGUGGGAAGGCCCAGACAGCCAGGAUGUUGGCUUAGAAGCAGCCAUCAUUUAAAGAAAGCGUAAUAGCUCACUGGUCGAGUCGGCCUGCGCGGAAGAUGUAACGGGGCUAAACCAUGCACCGAAGCUGCGGCAGCGACGCUUAUGCGUUGUUGGGUAGGGGAGCGUUCUGUAAGCCUGCGAAGGUGUGCUGUGAGGCAUGCUGGAGGUAUCAGAAGUGCGAAUGCUGACAUAAGUAACGAUAAAGCGGGUGAAAAGCCCGCUCGCCGGAAGACCAAGGGUUCCUGUCCAACGUUAAUCGGGGCAGGGUGAGUCGACCCCUAAGGCGAGGCCGAAAGGCGUAGUCGAUGGGAAACAGGUUAAUAUUCCUGUACUUGGUGUUACUGCGAAGGGGGGACGGAGAAGGCUAUGUUGGCCGGGCGACGGUUGUCCCGGUUUAAGCGUGUAGGCUGGUUUUCCAGGCAAAUCCGGAAAAUCAAGGCUGAGGCGUGAUGACGAGGCACUACGGUGCUGAAGCAACAAAUGCCCUGCUUCCAGGAAAAGCCUCUAAGCAUCAGGUAACAUCAAAUCGUACCCCAAACCGACACAGGUGGUCAGGUAGAGAAUACCAAGGCGCUUGAGAGAACUCGGGUGAAGGAACUAGGCAAAAUGGUGCCGUAACUUCGGGAGAAGGCACGCUGAUAUGUAGGUGAAGCGACUUGCUCGUGGAGCUGAAAUCAGUCGAAGAUACCAGCUGGCUGCAACUGUUUAUUAAAAACACAGCACUGUGCAAACACGAAAGUGGACGUAUACGGUGUGACGCCUGCCCGGUGCCGGAAGGUUAAUUGAUGGGGUUAGCGGUAACGCGAAGCUCUUGAUCGAAGCCCCGGUAAACGGCGGCCGUAACUAUAACGGUCCUAAGGUAGCGAAAUUCCUUGUCGGGUAAGUUCCGACCUGCACGAAUGGCGUAAUGAUGGCCAGGCUGUCUCCACCCGAGACUCAGUGAAAUUGAACUCGCUGUGAAGAUGCAGUGUACCCGCGGCAAGACGGAAAGACCCCGUGAACCUUUACUAUAGCUUGACACUGAACAUUGAGCCUUGAUGUGUAGGAUAGGUGGGAGGCUUUGAAGUGUGGACGCCAGUCUGCAUGGAGCCGACCUUGAAAUACCACCCUUUAAUGUUUGAUGUUCUAACGUUGGCCCCUGAUCGGGGUUGCGGACAGUGUCUGGUGGGUAGUUUGACUGGGGCGGUCUCCUCCUAAAGAGUAACGGAGGAGCACGAAGGUUGGCUAAUCCUGGUCGGACAUCAGGAGGUUAGUGCAAUGGCAUAAGCCAGCUUGACUGCGAGCGUGACGGCGCGAGCAGGUGCGAAAGCAGGUCAUAGUGAUCCGGUGGUUCUGAAUGGAAGGGCCAUCGCUCAACGGAUAAAAGGUACUCCGGGGAUAACAGGCUGAUACCGCCCAAGAGUUCAUAUCGACGGCGGUGUUUGGCACCUCGAUGUCGGCUCAUCACAUCCUGGGGCUGAAGUAGGUCCCAAGGGUAUGGCUGUUCGCCAUUUAAAGUGGUACGCGAGCUGGGUUUAGAACGUCGUGAGACAGUUCGGUCCCUAUCUGCCGUGGGCGCUGGAGAACUGAGGGGGGCUGCUCCUAGUACGAGAGGACCGGAGUGGACGCAUCACUGGUGUUCGGGUUGUCAUGCCAAUGGCACUGCCCGGUAGCUAAAUGCGGAAGAGAUAAGUGCUGAAAGCAUCUAAGCACGAAACUUGCC
rnacentral:rRNA from 1 species